rnacentral:rRNA from 1 species
GAUGCGAGCGUUAUCCGGAUUUAUUGGGUUUAAAGGGUGCGUAGGCGGUGCAUUAAGUCAGCGGUAAAAGCCCGGGGCUCAACCCCGGCGAGCCGUUGAAACUGGUGUGCUUGAGAGGCCGAGAGGUAUGCGGAAUGCGCGGUGUAGCGGUGAAAUGCAUAGAUAUCACGAAGAACUCCGAUUGCGAAGGCAGCUUACCGUAGCAUUACUGACGCUGAUGCUCGAAGGUGCGGGUAUC